UACAGAGACCCCAAGCGUUAUCCGGAUUAAUUGGGCGUAAAGCGUGCGCAGGCGGCCUUUUAAGUCCGCGGUUAAAUUCUGAAGCUUAACUUCAGAACCGCCGUGGAAACUGAAUGGCUAGAGUGCGGAAGAGGCGAGCGGAAUUGCCGGUGUAACGGUAAAAUGUGUUAAUAUCGGCAAGAACACCAGAGGCGAAGGCGGCUCGCUGGUACGCAACUGACGCUGUUGCACGAAAGCGUGGGGAGCGAAUGGG
rnacentral:misc_RNA from 1 species